GGUCUCGUGGUUCAGCUGGUAGAGCGUGCGCUAUACAAAGACGUAGGCAGGGUCUAUGCGUCGGUUCGAAUCCCACCGAGGCUA
rnacentral:tRNA from 1 species